rnacentral:misc_RNA from 1 species
CGAUAGGAUCGAACUAGGAGAUAAGAAUACGAUUCGCCGAGUAGCUGACGGGGUAUCGACAUAUCGUAACGGUUACGUCAAUGCUCGGGUAUAGUCCGAGCGAAUGUUAACACGUUACCAUCGAAUGGGGUUGAAGAAGACAAAGCACGAUAUCGAUUUUACCGUAUGUCUAUGAUCAGGAGAAAGAGGAGGGGUUGAAACGUACGCCACAAAGCUUACUAAUCCAGUUCUGAACUGUGUCGGUGGAAAGAAUAGGCAAGAAUGAAAAAGUGAUGAACGUGGAAGUCGCUGAGGAGUCAAAAAAUUUGCCUACAAUACGAUCGAACCAAUUUGAGAUUGAAAGGAACGUGUUCCUUCGUCAUUCAAUCCGGAGAUGUAUUUCCUGGAAGCUUGCCCGGAUUAAAUGAAAAUGACAUUUCGCGAUAUUUGGACGUCACGUGUGGUGGGUGAGGUUUAUCUGCAACUCUCCAACACAGAGCCACAACUGUGGUAAGAAUAAAACGGCGCAAUUUCGUUUUACCUGGUUCCCUGCGGCUUAUAACUCCUCUCUUUUUGCACAUUUUUCUAUCUUGCGAGAUGCGGCCACUUACAUGCACAAGACAUCCAUUGCUGUUUCAUAGCCGCUCGACGAGCGAGUGUGCUUGACGUCAAGAGUCUCGGCGAGAAAGACACCAACAGCAUGACUCACGGCUUUUACUUAAAAGCGUAAAUCGAUAUUUCGAUUGCAGGAUGUCCGAAGAUAAUUGCGCUCGUUGCAGGAACGAGGAAUUUUAUCGGUU